rnacentral:rRNA from 1 species
UACAGGGGGGGCAAGCGUUGUUCGGAAUUACUGGGCGUAAAGGGCUCGUAGGCGGCCAACUAAGUCCGACGUGAAAUCCCAAAGCUUAACUUUGGAACUGCGUCGGAUACUGGAUGGCUUGAAUUCGGGAGAGGGAUGCAGAAUUCCAGGUGUAGCGGUGAAAUGCGUAGAUAUCUGGAGGAAUACCGGUGGCGAAGGCGGCAUCCUGGACCGACAUUGACGCUGAGGAGCGAAGGCGUGGGAGCGAACAGG